rnacentral:rRNA from 1 species
AAAAAUUAACAUCAUCCGAUCCCUAGUCGGCAUAGUUUAUGGUUAAGACUACGACGGUAUCUGAUCGUCUUCGAUCCCCUAACUUUCGUUCUUGAUUAAUGAAAACAUCCUUGGCAAAUGCUUUCGCAGUAGUUAGUCUUCAAUAAAUCCAAGAAUUUCACCUCUGACAAUUGAAUACUAAUGCCCCCAACUAUCCCUAUUAAUCAUUACGUCAAUCCUAGAAACCAACAAAAUAGGAUCAACGUCCUAUUUCAUUAUUCCAUGCUAAUGUAUUCAAGCGCGAGCCUGCUUUAAACACUCUAAUUUUUUCAAAGUAACAGUCCUGAUUCCCCACCACACCAAAUUAAUGACAUGAUGGUUCGUCAGAAGGUAGGAACCAGUAACACCAGUACGUACCUAAG